rnacentral:rRNA from 1 species
AGAAUGAACGCUAGCGAUAGGCCUAACACAUGCAAGUUGAACGCUUAUUUAAAUACAAAUAAGAGUGGCAAACGGGUGAGUAACACGUGAGAAUCUACCUUAUAGUUCGGCAUAAGAUUUAUUUUAUCUAAUUCCGUAUAUGAAAAGGUAAAAACCGCUAUAAGACGAGCUCGCGGAGGAUUAGGUAGUUGGCGGGGUAAUGGCCCACCAAGACGAUGAUCUGUAUCCGGCCUGAGAGGGCGCACGGACACACUGGAACUGAAACACGGUCCAGACUCCUACGGGAGGCAGCAGUGGGGAAUUUUGCGCAAUGGGGGAAACCCUGACGCAGCAACGCCGCGUGGAGGAUGAAGCCCCUUGGGGUGUAAACUCCUUUCGAUCGGGAAGAUAAUGACGGUACCGAUAUAAGAAGCCCCGGCUAACUUCGUGCCAGCAGCCGC